UGAUUCCUGAUUCUUGGAGGUCAGGGUGUCUCUGGUGAAGGGAGAACCGGCCCUUAACUAAAUAAAGAUCUUGGACUUGGGACAGCAUGAGGAUUAGAGUUGAAAAAGUCAUAUUUAUCUGCUGCUGCCUCAAACAUCCCGAGCUGCAAAAAUAUCCUGCUCGGCGUCUUUGCCAGCUUUUUCCAGGGGAACUAAGCCUGUGGAGGGUGUUGCUGUCACGCCUUGCUCCCAUCGCCUUCCGGGUCUGCUCCGGAGUGACAAUGUGUCCACAAGGAAUUUCUCCAUCUCACCCUGUGGAACAGAGCUACCCCACCUGACUCACAUCAGCCCUCAUCCCUGAAGGUUCAAAAGGUUCAAAUAACCGGUGAUGACUCAGAAAAUAUGAGGCUUAAACUUUUAUCCUUGGAGAUCUGUGUGAGACUGGACACAAAUAACUGCGGUGUCUGACCCACGCGGUGUUGGAUGUGCCCGUCUCACAGUCUGGGUUUCCACAAAUACUCUCAGCACCUGAAGGAUGAAGGUUUGGUGGUUUGAAAGGCUCGAGGAAUAAGAGGCAGGGAAAGGAGCUGAUCCCCAGCCCAGUGCUGCCGUCAUGCAUUCAGCAGGUGUUGCUUUUUCUGCUCUGGAGUCUCAGAUUAAUUCUUUGAAAGAUUUCAGCCACAUCAUCAGUGGUGUGGAAAGAUGUACAAGGGCAAAAAGGAAAGGGAACAGAGAAAACAGUGGUUUUCUGCUUCCAGGGCUGUGCAUGGGAAAGAAAACAACUGUUCUGCAGCUUAUGAGGUGCAUCCGUCAGUGAGGGACACGGCGCAGCUGGAGACGUGGGGAAACGCUGUGUGCUUUACACAGAAUCCUGAGGUCACAAAGCCUGGAAAAGCCUCUGAGCCCAUCCAGUCCAACCACUCUCCAGCACUGCCAAGGCCACCACUGCCCCAUGUCCCCAAGUGCCACAUCCACAUGGCUUUGAAGUCCCUGCGUGGGUGGGGACUCCCCCACUGCCUUGGGCAGCUGUGACAAGGUUUGGUCGCCCUUUUGGAGGAGAAAUCUUCCCAAUAUUGAACCUAAACCUCCUCUAGUGCAACUCAAGGCCAUUUCCUCUCGUCCUAUCCCUUGUCCCCUGCGAGCAGAGCCUGAACCCCAGCUGACAGAACCCUCCUGUCAAGAGAUGUUGAAAAACACAGUUGAAGGAAAGUUGUUGUUGGGAGAAAAUAGAGUCCCAAAUGAGCCUCAUUUACCCCAGGCUAAAAACCCUCAGCUGCUCCUCAUCAGACUUUCCUCCAAUUACCUUCUGCCCUGGGGUUUACCCCAGCCCUAGAUGGCUUUGGUAGGGUUUUGGCUGGUUUGUUAGGGAAAGCCAAGUGGGGAGGUAAAUCCUGCUGGGAAUUUUGUGGGGA